AUAUUUGCUUUAUAACUAUUAUUAUCAGAUAAUUGCAAACGUAGACUUUUACAACAUUUACAAUAGCAUUUAAAACAAACAUACAUGUAUUCGCAUUCAUUUAUUGUUUUUAAGUAUUCUUCAAACCUUAAUAAUUAAAGCAAAUUGACCCACACAUUGAUAAUAAAGCACAAAGAAAGUGAGAUUAAAUAAUGUGGUGGAAGAAGUCAUAUUUUUCUAUGAUUGUUUUAGACAAGUAGUAAUGUGCAGUUUAUUUCUGGUUCAUAAAAAUCAAUAACAAAAAUCUAAAAGAAUUCAAUGUUGCCGAAAUAUCUAUUAAAAAACAAUAAGAUAUAAAAAUAAUAUGAGGAAUGCAUAUUGUUUGGCUAUCGAUCACUUUUUUGGUUAAAUUUGAAAGUAAUUUCAUAAAACAUAUAUCAAUUCAGAUACAUGUACUUACAAACUUUGUGUUGCUCAAAUUGAUUCAUGAAUAAAAAUAACUACAUUUUUAUGAUAUAUCAGUAGUUUAUAUAAGUUUUUGUUUUCUGAAAUUUUGUAAGGCGAGCUAUGAACAAGUAAAGUAGACUUUUUUUUUCGAUAAUGUAUGUCACAAAAAUUAUGAUACAUCCAUGGUAUUUGUUUAUAGUUUUAAAACUGCAUAAAGAACAAAACACCUUGUUUUAUCUUUUUUUUUCUAUCAAAGGAAACUAAAACAAAAUAGAUUUUCAAUGAAAUUGAAAUUGAUACUGAAAGAUUGUAAAACAAAUAUAUAUUCCUAUUGAAAUCAAAAUUGAAAUAUUUUUU
rnacentral:lncRNA from 1 species